UACGUAGGUGGCAAGCGUUGUCCGGAUUUAUUGGGUUUAAAGGGUGCGUAGGCGGCUUUGUAAGUCAGUGGUGAAAUAUGGCAGCUCAACUGUCAGUGUGCCAUUGAUACUGCAGAGCUUGAGUACAGAUGAGGUAGGCGGAAUUGACGGUGUAGCGGUGAAAUGCUUAGAUAUCGUCAAGAACACCUAUAGCGAAGGCAGCUUACUAGGCUGUAACUGACGCUGAGGCACGAAAAUGUGGGAG
rnacentral:rRNA from 1 species